UAUUAAGGAUGAAAUUAUCCCGAACCUGAUUCCUGUAAGAUUGACAACCCUGUCGGAUCUGACUUCUGAAAU
rnacentral:snoRNA from 1 species